rnacentral:rRNA from 1 species
UGGGGAAUUUUGGACAAUGGGCGAAAGCCUGAUCCAGCAAUGCCGCGUGUGUGAAGAAGGCCUUCGGGUUGUAAAGCACUUUUGUCCGGAAAGAAAUCCUUGGCUCUAAUACAGUCGGGGGAUGACGGUACCGGAAGAAUAAGCACCGGCUAACUACGUGCCAGCAGCCGCGGUAAUACGUAGGGUGCAAGCGUUAAUCGGAAUUACUGGGCGUAAAGCGUGCGCAGGCGGUUUGCUAAGACCGAUGUGAAAUCCCCGGGCUCAACCUGGGAACUGCAUUGGUGACUGGCAGGCUAGAGUAUGGCAGAGGGGGGUAGAAUUCCACGUGUAGCAGUGAAAUGCGUAGAGAUGUGGAGGAAUACCGAUGGCGAAGGCAGCCCCCUGGGCCAAUACUGACGCUCAUGCACGAAAGCGUGGGGAGCAAACAGGAUUAGAUACCCUGGUAGUCCACGCCCUAAACGAUGUCAACUAGUUGUUGGGGAUUCAUUUCCUUAGUAACGUAGCUAACGCGUGAAGUUGACCGCCUGGGGAGUACGGUCGCAAGAUUAAAACUCAAAUGAAUUAACGGGGUCAUAGCUGUUUCC